UACGGGGGGGGCAAGCGUUGUUCGGAAUUACUGGGCGUAAAGCGCACGUAGGCGGCUUUGUAAGUUAGAGGUGAAAGCCUGGAGCUCAACUCCAGAACUGCCUUUGAUACUGCAUGGCUUGAAUCCAGGAGAGGUGAGUGGAACUGCGAGUGUAGAGGUGAAAUUCGUAGAUAUUCGCAAGAACACCAGUGGCGAAGGCGGCUCACUGGCCCAUAACUGACGCUGAGGCACGAAAGCGUGGGGAGCAAACAGG
rnacentral:rRNA from 1 species